UCAUAUUUCACCUCUUCAACCACAUUGUUCUUUAAUCAUGACGUCAGAUACUAAUUCUUACUCUACAGUUUGUUGCAUUUUGUUAUUUAUUCAUUAAGGUGCUUUUGUAACAAAGACGACUAACAAACCUCCAGUGAAUGAGACACCUGAGAAGAAGACGACCAAAAGUCCACCUGAAGACAAGAAACCAGUGACUGCAGCCUUGUUGAGGACCUUCGUUGUGUGUUUGGGUUCAGCAGCACUUUUAAUAAGUGUUGUUACAGUCAACAUCUGGACAAGAACUAAAGGGAAAGAAACCCGGAUGGAAGAAAUCAUGCAGAUGGAUGAGGUGGUUGAAGGAGACGACUCGGUGAACUACGUAAACGUUGGAGAGCCUUCUGCCUCCGUCUCACUGGACUGAUGGACGACGUGAAGCCACCACAGAGUCCCUGAUGUCAGACGCCAUGACGCCGUUGUCCACGGCAACAGACGCUUUAAGAGGCUUCAGUGCAGAAACGCUUGUGUUUCACUUUAAACGGGACAAAGAUGCUUCAGUCUUUAUACAGACUGAAUGUUUCCUCCUGUGAAGCAGCAGCGCCUUCUGCAACUGCUGUUUAUAUGUUCACACGUUCAUGUUCACCUGCUACGCUUUAUUCUAUUACACAAUGUUAUAUGUGCUUUAUUAUAUUACACAAUUUUAUAUGUACAUUAUUCUAUUACACAAUGAGCUUUGAGCUUUAUGCUUUAAUCUUUUUCAGCAUUUUUAAUUUCAAAUAAAGGUUGAAUGAAAAGUCGAUUGUAAGCUUCAUUAAAAUGUCCAACAGAA